GCUGCCAUCCCGAACCCUCCCAGGGACGAUCCGCCAGCCCAGGCCAGCGCCGGAGCUGCAGCGCCACCUGUAGGCCAAGGAGUUUUUUCCUGGGAGGCUGGAACUGCAGGUGCAGUGACGUCACCGGCGCGCAGGCGCACUGGUGUGUAACGGAUUGGCUUGGCCUUACCCGCGAGGCUUUGCAGUGGUUGCUUGGCUUGGCGGUGGUCGCUUAGCUUGGCGGUGGUCGCUUGGCGUGCCAAGCAGUGAUCACUUGGCUUGGCAUUUCUGGCUUGGCGGUGCUCCUUUCAUAGAUUGGAAACCGCGGGCUUUCCUCCUGGGAGGUUGUGGCCGAGGUAGUAGCUCGCUACUGACGGCCUGCUGGGGUGGAGAAAAGCGGGGAGGGACUAAGGGGUCUGUCUCUGAAGCCCGCAGUCUCCUCCAUGAGGAAGACUGCCCGCGUCGGGAGCCAGGAGGACCAGCGCUGGUGGAAAAACAGCGCUAUUGAAAGCGAGCACGAUGAGGGCACCUUUGACCAGCCCCAGCACGACGUCCGCCUGGAAGAUCUCUGUGAGCUCCACAGAGCUGCCCAGUCCGGCGACGUCCCUGGGGUGGAGCGCGUCCUGUCUCCUGGAGAUACUGGCGUGGACAAGAGGGAUAGGAAGAAGAGGCCUGCAGAUAAAACAUCUAAUGAAAAGAACAAGGUAUUGUAAAAAAGUAAAUGAUCUAAAAUAUUAUGUUGAAAAAAACCACAUUCUAAAAGGUAAAAUGAAAAAAACAGGAUGUUUUGUUCUAAAGCUGUUUGCUUAGAAAAAGUGAUUAAGAAACAGUAGCUGUUGAUAACAGUACCUUUUAAGAACAAUCUGUUGCUUUAAAGAAGUACCUGUGUUUUUGCUCAUCAAAAAAAAAAAAAAAAAAAAAAAGGAGAAAUACCACUUCUGUACAUUUAGCAUAUGCUAUAAAUCUUUCGAGGACAUUUUGAAACAGUGUUAUUUAUCUUAUAGGUCAAAAACCAAGUACAUCCUGAGGCUGACUUUGCUGACUCAGUGGGGCCAUCUGAAAAGGCUCACUCUACUUAUGAGAAUUUUAUGUUGCUGAUUGAACAACUUGGAAUGGAGCGUAAAGGUAGGACCAUUGCAUAAAUGCAAAGCCUUUUGAUGUAUCCUGCAGUAAUGUGUGUAUACAUUGCUGAGAACUGAUGUGUGAUAGUGAAGCUCAUCUCAGAAAU
rnacentral:lncRNA from 1 species